GACGAACGCUGGCGGCGUGCUUAACACAUGCAAGUCGAACGAUGAAGCCCAGCUUGCUGGGUGGAAGAGUGGCGAACGGGUGAGUAACACGUGAGUAACCUGCCCUGAACUCUGGGAUAAGCACUGGAAACGGUGUCUAAUACUGGAUACGACCUAUCACCGCAUGGUGUGUGGGUGGAAAGAUUUAUCGGUUCUGGAUGGACUCGCGGCCUAUCAGCUAGAUGGUGAGGUAAUGGCUCACCAUGGCGACGACGGGUAGCCGGCCUGAGAGGGUGACCGGCCACACUGGGACUGAGACACGGCCCAGACUCCUACGGGGGGCAGCAGUGGGGAAUAUUGCACAAUGGGCGCAAGCCUGAUGCAGCAACGCCGCGUGAGGGAUGACGGCCUUCGGGUUGUAAACCUCUUUUAGUAGGGAAGAAGCGAAAGUGACGGUACCUGCAGAAAAAGCACCGGCUAACUACGUG
rnacentral:rRNA from 1 species